ACAGGCUUAACACAUGCAAGUCGAGGGGUAGCAGGGUAGCAAUACCGCUGACGACCGGCGCACGGGUGAGUAACACGUAUCCAACCUUCCCAUAACUCGGGGAUAGCCUUUCGAAAGAAAGAUUAAUACCCGAUAGUACUUAAGAAAGGCAUCUUUUUUAAGUUAAAGAUUUAUUGGUUAUGGAUGGGGAUGCGUUCCAUUAGAUAGUUGGUGAGGUAACGGCUCACCAAGUCUUCGAUGGAUAGGGGUUCUGAGAGGAAGGUCCCCCACAUUGGUACUGAGACACGGACCAAACUCCUACGGGAGGCAGCAGUGAGGAAUAUUGGUCAAUGGGCGAGAGCCUGAACCAGCCAAGUAGCGUGAAGGAUGACGG
rnacentral:rRNA from 1 species